AUUGAACGCUGGCGGCAGGCUUAACACAUGCAAGUCGAGCGGAGAUGAGGUGCUUGCACCUUAUCUUAGCGGCGGACGGGUGAGUAAUGCUUAGGAAUCUGCCUAUUAGUGGGGGACAACAUUCCGAAAGGAAUGCUAAUACCGCAUACGUCCUACGGGAGAAAGCAGGGGAUCUUCGGACCUUGCGCUAAUAGAUGAGCCUAAGUCGGAUUAGCUAGUUGGUGGGGUAAAGGCCUACCAAGGCGACGAUCUGUAGCGGGUCUGAGAGGAUGAUCCGCCACACUGGGACUGAGACACGGCCCAGACUCCUACGGGAGGCAGCAGUGGGGAAUAUUGGACAAUGGGCGAAAGCCUGAUCCAGCCAUGCUGCGUGUGUGAAGAAGGCCUUCGGGUUGUAAAGCACUUUAAGCGAGGAGGAAUGGCUCUUGGUUAAUAACCUUGAGCAGUGACGUUACUCGCAGAAUAAGCACCGGCUAACUCUGUGCCAGCCGCCGCGGUAAAAC
rnacentral:rRNA from 1 species